GUCUUCUUGUUAUAUUUAGGAAGUCUGGCCUGCCCAGUGAAAAUAAUUUAACGGCCGCGGUAUAUUGACCGUGCAAAGGUAGCAUAAUCAUUAGUCUUUUAAUAGAGGGCUGGUAUGAAGGGUUUAACGAGGUGUUGACUGUCUCAUUUAAUUUGAAUUUAGAAUUUAAUUUUUUAGUUAAAAAGCUGAAAUAUUAUUGGAAGACGAGAAGACCCUAUAGAGCUUUAUAUUUUUAUUAUUAAUUUAUUUUAGUUUAUUAUUAUUUAUUAUUAAUAGAAAAUAUUUUGUUGGGGUGACAAAAAUAUAUAAAUAACUUUUUCAUUUAUUUUACAUUGAUAUAUGAAUAUUAGAUCCAAUCAUAUUGAUUGAUAGACUAAGUUACCUUAGGGAUAACAGCGUAAUCUCUCUCCAGAGUUCAUAUUUACAGAGGGGCUUGCGACCUCGAUGUUGGAUUAAGAUAAUAAUUAGGUGCAGCCGCUUAAUUAAUAGGUCUGUUCGACCUUUAAAUUCUU
rnacentral:rRNA from 1 species